UAAAAACACACGAGUGUCACAGCGAGGCUGAAAUGCUGCUCAGGGUCCGCAGAUAGUCCCUCCUCCUCCAGGCCGACUGUUUACUUACAGCUGGAGCCAACUAUGCCAGACUGAGAGACUGGGCACGGCUCAGGCCUUUGUUUCGGCUAGCACUUACAUACGUUUAGUCAGCGAUGCUUUUAUUUUGAAACAUGCAUCUGGAUAUCACUCUUAUUGAGGCCGACUUGACACUUGAAUAUCAACACACGCUCACAGACACA